CCUACGGGAGGCAGCAGUGAGGAAUAUUGGUCAAUGGACGAGAGUCUGAACCAGCCAAGUAGCGUGAAGGAUGACUGUCCUAUGGGUUGUAAACUUCUUUUAUCUGGGAAUAAAAUGUUCCACGUGUGGGAUUUUGAUUGUACCAUAUGAAUAAGCAUCGGCUAACUCCGUGCCAGCAGCCGCGGUAAUACGGAGGAUCCGAGCGUUAUCCGGAUUUAUUGGGUUUAAAGGGGGCGUAGGUGGAUUGUUAAGGCAGUUGUGAAAGUUUGCGGGUCAACCGUAAAAUUGCAGUUGAAACUGGCAGUCUUGAGUACAGUAGAGGUAGGCGGAAUGCGUGGUGUAGCGGUGAAAUGCUUAGAUAUCACGAAGAACUCCGAUUGCGAAGGCAGCUCACUGGACUGCAACUGACACUGAGGCUCGAAAGUGUGGGUAUCGAACAGGAUUAGAUACCCGAGUAGUC
rnacentral:rRNA from 1 species